UACGUAGGUGGCGAGCGUUGUCCGGAUUUACUGGGCGUAAAGCGCGCGCAGGCGGUUCGUUAAGUCCGGUGUGAAAGCUCCCGGCUCAACUGGGAGAGGUCAUUGGAUACUGGCGGACUUGAGGGAUGCAGAGGAAGGUGGAAUUCCCGGUGUAGUGGUGAAAUGCGUAGAGAUCGGGAGGAACACCAGUGGCGAAGGCGGCCUUCUGGGCAUUUCCUGACGCUGAGGAGCGAAAGCGUGGGGAGCAAACAGG
rnacentral:rRNA from 1 species